rnacentral:misc_RNA from 1 species
GGAGAGCCUUCAUAUGCAUGAGGUAAGGCCGUAAGAGAGAUGAGAGACAUGAAAGAUGGUACUUCCUUUGAGAAUGUUUAUUGUAUCAGUAUUUGACUAUUUGCUUUACUUCUUUGCCAGAGCAUUUGAUGUUUUCAGUCACGUUCUAUAAAAUUUCUGUAGAAGUGAUGACAUGAUGAAUAUGAACUAGCUACUGUUCAGCUGUAUACUGUUACUAUAAUCUGGGGUGUUAUGGAACAAGUUAGUCAAACUAGCUCAUGUGUACUGUUAAAUAUGAUUCGCAUAUUUUUAUUUUUCAGUAGGCUCAGUUGUUUAUUCUUUUUCUUCCCAAUUAGAUUUUGCUACAAUCUCCCAAAUAUAUCUAUGUGCUAUAGUCAUUGAUGUUGCAUUUUAUCCCUCAGUUUUUUGUUCUCUUAUUCCCCAAUCAGAUAUUCUAACUUGCUAUCAGUCCCUGAUUUUGUGGCUUAAAAGUGGCUUUACGAUAAAAGUUAAGGUUAGAUUUUGCGGUGCUUUAUUUUAUUAGAAUAUUGCUGCUUCAAGCGUUAGCUGUGACUUUGUAUUGCUGU